GACGAACGCUGGCGGCGUGCUUAACACAUGCAAGUCGAACGGAAAGGCCCUGCUUUUGUGGGGUGCUCGAGUGGCGAACGGGUGGGUAACACGUGAGUAACCUGCCCUUGACUUUGGGAUAACUUCAGGAAACUGGGGCUAAUACCGGAUAGGAGCUCCUGCUGCGUGGUGGGGGUUGGAAAGUUUCGGCGGUUGGGGAUGGACUCGCGGCUUAUCAGCUUGUUGGUGGGGUAGUGGCUUACCAAGGCUUUGACGGGUAGCCGGCCUGAGAGGGUGACCGGCCACAUUGGGACUGAGAUACGGCCCAGACUCCUACGGGAGGCAGCAGUGGGGAAUAUUGCACAAUGGGCGGAAGCCUGAUGCAGCAACGCCGCGUGCGGGAUGACGGCCUUCGGGUUGUAAACCGCUUUCGCCUGUGACGAAGCGUGAGUGACGGUAAUGGGUAAAGAAGCACCGGCUAACUACGUG
rnacentral:rRNA from 1 species